rnacentral:tRNA from 1 species
GCCUGGCUGGCUCAGUUGGUAGAGUGGGUGACUCCCGAUCUCAGGAUCGUGAGUUCAAGUCCUAUGUUGGGUA